AGCAGCCGCGGUAAUUCCAGCUCCAAUAGCGUAUAUUAAAGUUGUUGCAGUUAAAAGCUCGUAGUUGAAUUUCGGGAUCAGUUGGUCGGUCGUGCCUCGGUACGUACUGGUCAAAUUGAUUCCUACCUUCUGACGAACCACGAUGUCAUUAAUUUGGUGUCGCGGGAAAUCAGGACUGUUACUUCGAAAAAAUUAGAGUGUUUAAAGCAGGCUCGCGCUUGAAUACAUUAGCAUGGAAUAAUGAAAUAGGACGUUUGAUUCUAUUUUGUUGGUUUCUAGGAUCGACGUAAUGAUUAAUAGGGAUAGUUGGGGGCAUUAGUAUUCAAUUGUCAGAGGUGAAAUUCUUGGAUUUAUUGAAGACUAACUACUGCGAAAGCAUUUGCCAAGGAUGUUUUCAUUAAUCAAGAACGAAAGUUAGGGAUCGAAGACGAUCAGAUACCGUCGUAGUCUUAACCAUAAACUAUGCCGAC
rnacentral:misc_RNA from 1 species